GCCGCUGCCGCCGCUGCUGCUGCUGCUGCUGCUGCUGCUGCUGGCCCCCACUGCGAGAGCUCGAAGCGGGGAGUCGAGUCCCCGGCGGUUUUGACAGGCAGUCCGGUGCCGCGCGCGACACUGUCGACACUCGGCCGCUCGCUCGCUCGCUCGGCCGCUCGCUCCGUGUUAUCGCCUCGCCGUGGUGUCAGUGAUGAGGGUGCCCGUGGGCUCCCAGUGUCCUCGCAGCCAGCAUUGAAUUUCGCACGCUCGCCCACGCACCAGAUGGCGAUAAUGGACACCUACAACGCCACGUACUCUAUCGACCAGGAGUCCAGGUUCUCCAGGCCGCUCAGGAAUUUCGCGGCGACCGUCUCCAUACUCAUCAUGAUCACCGGUCUCCUGGGCAAUCUGCUCACCAUCAUCGCUCUCCUGAAGUACCCCAAAGUUCGCAAUGUCGCCGCCGCUUUCAUCAUAAGUCUGUGCGCGGCCGACUUCAUUUUUUGCCUGCUGGUGCUGCCCUUCGACUCGAUAAGAUUUAUCGACGCGAGCUGGGCGAACGUGCGCUUUCUGUGCGUGCUCGUGCCUUUCCUCAGAUAUGGAAACGUCGGAGUGAGUUUGCUCUCCGUCGGCGUCAUAACGAUAAACAGGUACAUCAUGAUCGCCCACCAUGGACUCUACGGCCGGGUCUACAAGAAGCAGUGGAUCGCGCUGAUGAUAUUUUUCUGCUGGGCGUUCUCCUACGGAAUGCAGAUACCCGCGUUGGUCGGCUCUUGGGGUAGUUUCGCCUAUGACUCAAACCUGGAAACCUGUUCGAUCGUGCGAGAUGCGAACGGCCGCUCGCCCAAAACUUUCCUGUUUAUCAUGGGCUUCGUCAUCCCGUGCAUCGUCAUCGUCGCCUGCUACAGCAAAAUCUUCUGGGUCGUACACAAAUCCGAGUCGAGAAUGCGGAAGCACACCGCGCCACCGGCGAUCAAGUCGCCCCACAGCCCCGGACGCGACACCCGCGAGAUCAAGCAGAGGCGCAGCGAGUGGAGGAUCACCAAGAUGGUGCUUGCCAUUUUCCUGGGCUUCGUCGCUUGCUAUCUGCCCAUCACCAUCGUCAAGGUCGCCGACGCGGAAGUCCGCUUUCCCGCGUUCCACGUCUUGGGCUACCUCUUGCUGUACUUCGCCUCGUGCGUCAAUCCAAUAAUCUACGUGAUAAUGAAUAAGCAGUACAGACAGGCGUACGCAGGGGUGAUAAGCUGCUCGAGGAUAAGGGCGACGCUUACGCCACACGGCAGCAGUGCCCCGGGCCAGCAGCACAACUUCGGCCAUCAAGGAUUGGCCGAACCCAGCUAAACGUUGCACACACACACACACAAUACGAUUUUCUACGUACUAACGCAGUUACCGAGAGAUUAUUCCAAAGACUACAGCAAGACGAUGGUCUCGACCGUAUCGAUCGCCAUGAACUCUGUGAGAGAUACUCAUCGAGAUGACGAGCUGUGAACGGAGGUGAACAAGAGCCAUAACGCAAGAAAAAGAGAGAACAAUG